GACGAACGCUGGUGGCGUGCUUAACACAUGCAAGUCGAACGGAAAGGCCCCCUUGUGGGGUACUCGAGUGGCGAACGGGUGAGUAACACGUGAGUAACCUACCCUUGACUUUGGGAUAACUUCAGGAAACUGGGGCUAAUACCGGAUAGGAGCUCCUGCUGCAUGGUGGGGGUUGGAAAGUUUCGGCGGUUGGGGAUGGACUCGCGGCUUAUCAGCUUGUUGGUGGGGUAGUGGCUCACCAAGGCUUUGACGGGUAGCCGGCCUGAGAGGGUGACCGGCCACAUUGGGACUGAGAUACGGCCCAGACUCUUACGGGAGGCAGCAGUGGGGAAUAUUGCACAAUGGGCGGAAGCCUGAUGCAGCAACGCCGCGUGCGGGAUGACGGCCUUCGGGUUGUAAACCGCUUUCGCCUGUGACGAAGCGUGAGUGACGGUAAUGGGUAAAGAAGCACCGGCUAACUACGUG
rnacentral:rRNA from 1 species